rnacentral:rRNA from 1 species
GUGGGGAAUAUUGCACAAUGGGCGAAAGCCUGAUGCAGCAACGCCGCGUGAAGGAUGAAGGCCUUUGGGUCGUAAACUUCUGUCCUUGGGGAAGAAAAAAAUGACGGUACCCCUGGAGGAAGUCCCGGCUAACUACGUGCCAGCAGCCGCGGUAAUACGUAGGGGGCGAGCGUUAUCCGGAAUUAUUGGGCGUAAAGAGUACGUAGGUGGUUUUUUAAGCGCAGGGUUUAAGGCGAUGGCUCAACUGUCGUUCGCCCUGUGAACUGGAAGACUUGAGUACAGGAGAGGAAAGCGGAAUUCCUAGUGUAGCGGUGAAAUGCAUAGAUAUUAGGAGGAACACCAGUGGCGAAGGCGGCUUUCUGGACUGUAACUGACACUGAGGUACGAAAGCGUGGGGAGCAAACAGGAUUAGAAACCCGGGUAGUCC